GGAGGAAAUUCAAUUGAAAAAGAUAAAAUCUUUAGGUGACCGCCCAAUGAAAGUGCGACAAGAAAGGAUCGGUGACGGUAGCACGUGUGGGUGAGGGGGACACAACAAUCUUCCAGAAAAUCUUGGAUGUAAAGCCGUCGCUGUACACGCGUGUCCUUUUUGGUAAUAACCUAUUUUUAAUCUGAUUCUUUUGUCUUUUUCUAUCAUUUUUUUUUCUUCUCUUUAUUAAAAUACGACCCCUCUAUUUCUAUAUUAUUUCACAAUUUCCCACGCCUCAACCCCUUUUUUAAUUAUUAAACGUAGAAAGAGACGAAUUUGAUAUUUUGUGUCAUAACCUUUUCUACACGACGCCGCUUUGUUACUUUUUUUAUAUAUAUUUUAUAUAUUUUAUAUAUUUAUAUUCUAUCCCUCAUCAAAUAUUUAUAUAUUUCUUUCCACAAUAUUCUAAAUAACAACAACUACCUAUUAAAUAUUUAAUCUAUAAUUUCUUUUCAUAAAUAUUUGAAAAUUUCUCUAUUUCUUUUACAUUUUUUUCUAGUGUCUAAUAACUAAUUAAUCUUAUACUUUCAAAUUUUUGUAACAAUUAACAAAAUUUCGUAUGUGUGUGAUUUGAAAUUAGUAGCCUAAAAAGAAUUUGAUGAGGUGGAGGCUGGAGGGGUGCGUUAGCUGCUAAAUGCAUAAUUAUGGAUGGUUCAAAAUUGAAAUUAAAAUGAGGCUUUUGAACCAAUAAUGUAAAGCCAAUUUUAUGCCAUACUUUAAAAUUUGGUAUCAAUUAAGUGAACAAUAAAAUAUAGCCAACGUAACCAUGUUGGGAUAUUUGUCGACAAUAUAAAUACAUUUCUCUUUUUCUUUCACCAACUAAAUCUUAAGAAUUCAAUAUCAAAUAACAUAAAAUUCACCAAUGCCACAAACUCUAAAGUAAUUAGACAAUAGUACCAUAUAUAUACACUCUCUUCUCUAUAUAAUUUAAUAAGAUUCAAAAUUCAUUUUUGAAUUUUUUUUAACCUUCUAUAUACAUACAUAUAUUUACUCUCACUCCCCAUUAUUUUUAAGUAUUAAAUUAAAUAAUCAAAUGAUUGCUAACUAAGGUCGUACUAUAUUUUAUGAAAGAAGAAAGAAAGCAAGAAUUUUCAUGUCCUUAUUAAUUUUGUUUGGAAAAGAAGAGGGUUUAAAGUUGAAGAACAAUGUUUUUUUUUUUUUUCAAAUUAGCAAUGACGCAAAAGAGUACAAAGAAAAGAUAUUAAACAAAUAUAGUAGAUCAAAAUAAAAAACACAAAAUAGUGUUAAAAUGCAAAGUAUCAAUAAAAAUAGAAUAGGUGUAACGUAUGUCAAAAUUGUGUAUUGGAUACACGAUUUCAUUUAACUUAGUUAAAACCCAAAUGGAGAAUAGAUGGUGCCAUGUUCGUGCAUGCAUGAGUUUGAUAAAAAAUGAAAAGACUAGAGAUGUGGGCUUGGCCCACAACUUUAGUCUUGUUUUGAAAAAGAAGAACUUUAAUAAACAAUUUUAUUUGUUUAGGGUUUCGAAGUUAUUCCAAGUAUUUGAUUGUUUUCGUAUCUAAUCCUUAUUAUGUCAUCUGAUUUAAGUGUAUUUGUUUUCAAUUGAGUUGUAAUCAAUUUAAUUUUCUUGUGUAUUCAGUUCAUAUUAUAUCUAAACUUUCCUCCGACGAUCUAUAUUUCAAGAAUUAAAAUGCAUGAAAAAAAAUCUUAUGAUUGAUGGUGACAAUGGAGAUCAUAGAUGAAAGACUAAAAAGACAACGACAGUUGUCAGCGGUGGGCUGGAGAAUUGAAGAUGAAUGGAAUUCAAGGAUAUGGUGAGACAUACACAAAAAUUAUAGAUCUCCUAAUGCAUAAAACCGUUAGGAGAUAUAAAAAAUGCAUAAAAAAAGAUCUUCUAACGCA
rnacentral:lncRNA from 1 species